rnacentral:rRNA from 1 species
AGUGAACGCUGGCGGUAGGCCUAACACAUGCAAGUCGAACGGCAGCACAGUAAGAGCUUGCUCUUACGGGUGGCGAGUGGCGGACGGGUGAGGAAUACAUCGGAAUCUACUUUUUCGUGGGGGAUAACGUAGGGAAACUUACGCUAAUACCGCAUACGACCUACGGGUGAAAGCAGGGGAUCUUCGGACCUUGCGCGAUUGAAUGAGCCGAUGUCGGAUUAGCUAGUUGGCGGGGUAAAGGCCCACCAAGGCGACGAUCCGUAGCUGGUCUGAGAGGAUGAUCAGCCACACUGGAACUGAGGCACGGUCCAGACUCCUACGGGAGGCAGCAGUGGGGAAUAUUGGACAAUGGGCGCAAGCCUGAUCCAGCCAUACCACGUGGGUGAAGAAGGCCUUCGGGUUGUAAAGCCCUUUUGUUGGGAAAGAAAAGCAGCAGGUUAAUACCCCGCUGUUCUGACGGUACCCAAAGAAUAAGCACCGGCUAACUUCGUG